CGGCAGUCCAGGUCCGGGGGCGCGGGGCGCGGGCAGCCACAGGUCCGCUGGGCUGGCGCCGAGCGCACUCAGGGUCCCGGGCAGCGAGAGGCCGCGCCUGUCACGGGCUCCGGCUCCACAAAGCGCAGGGAGGUGGCAGCGGGGUGGCUCGGUGUGUGACCGCGGCCGCGCAGCGCGGGCCACCGCUGGCACCGGGGGAGGAGGCUGGAGCGGCGCAGAGCCCGGCCGCGGGCGGCUGCAAAAGGCGGCCUGGAUUGCCGCGCUGCCCGCUGGUCGCGCACUCCGGCCCCCGCCCGGGGACUCUGCGCCAGGCCUCCCGGUACCGCGCUGGUCUCUAGUUCCUUCCCCCAGAACCACAGGAAUAAAUCCUGGCAGCAAAGCACAGAAACUUCCUACCGCAGCGGGAGUGCGCAGGGAGCGCCCACGGUGCUGGGGCCGCGCGGGCACUCGGGGCCCUUCCCCGGCCCCUCCGUCUCUAGUCCUCCCUCCCGGCGGGCACGCCAGCAGCGCUACCGCCGCACUCAGCCUCCCCUGGGCUCCAAAAUGGGAGGCUGGCCCCACGACCCUCGACCCUCGCGGUCCCUUCGACCCCCCGCGGUCCCUUCCGCCCCGGGAUUGUGGGCGGCUGCUCCCGCGAGGCCCAGGCAUUAGCCGGCACCUCGCAAGGCGGCGUUUCACAACUAAAUCACCGUGGAAGCUUCCCAGCCAAUAAAUCACCUGCCCACCGGGGGAGAGUCCCUCCCACUCCCCGUGUUUGAGACCAGCCGGGCCAAUUCAGUGAGGAGCCAGACUUGGCCUGCAAGACAGACCUGCAACCUCCCACUCCAUUCCUCGAGGCUCUGCAUUUUCAGAUUUCACCCCUUUCUAAGAUAUGACUCAUCACUGUCAAUUUUCACUGUAAUUCUUAUAGGUCAAAGGAAAAGUCUGUCCAGGCACAAAAAAAGCAAGCCCUCCUCCAGUCUGCAAGAGUGACCUCGGUUACUUAACAAAAGUAUCAUUCUAAUUACAACACGCAUCCUGGACUGCGUGCAAAGCUUCUCCAUGGGGGACAUGGAGAGGAAUGAGGCUGCCCUGUCCUCAAGGAGCUCCAUGGCAAACAGAAGGAAAAACUAACCAUACCAUCAAUCCAGGGUCAAGGGUGACAUCUGUAAACAACUGGGAGCCUCAGGGAUGGGUGAGGCCUAAGAAUGGAGUCCAGGACGGUGCAGAUCACAGAUGGUGCGAUGGGCAUCUGUUGCCUUUGUUUGCCUUUCAAACAAAAAAGACCUGCCUUAUCCAUUUCAAAAAAUUAUUCUGAACAUCAAACUGGACAGCAAAGAGAAGAGUAGUAGGCUGCGGCUAAGUCCCUCACAGAGUAAGGUGCACUGAUCGCCCUCAUCUGCACCUGCAACUCCCAACAUUCUUUUCCUCAAGGGCUGGAUCUGACCUGUGUCUGCAGCAGAGAAGAGAGGCAGGACGAGGGGAAUGUGCCUCAGAAAUGGCUAAAAAAUAGCUCUGCAUUAACUCCUGGCUGAGAGCUUUCACAAUUAACUCCCACUGGUGAAUUUUAACUAGUGCAUCACAGUCAGAAACGCACACCAGGACUUCGAAAAGUGACUUCACUCCAUCCUCUUACAUAACUGUUUGGAAAACACUGUCGGUAUUAAAAUGAUUCCCACUGUGAAAAUGGCUCCUUCUGCUCUACCCUGUUUUCUGCACAAAAUUUUAUGUUAAUAA